rnacentral:rRNA from 1 species
CCUACGGGUGGCUGCAGUGAGGAAUAUUGGUCAAUGGGCGCGAGCCUGAACCAGCCAAGUCGCGUGAGGGAAGAAGGUCCUCUGGAUUGUAAACCUCUUUUGUCGGGGAGCAAAAGACGCCGCGCGUGGCGUUCCGAGAGUACCCGAAGAACAAGCAUCGGCUAACUCCGUGCCAGCAGCCGCGGUCAUACGGAGGAUGCGCGCGUUAUCCGGAUUUAUUGGGUGUAAAGGGUGCGCAGGCGGAAGAUAACUUCAGCGGUAAAAGCGAGUGGCUCAACCUCUUCGAGCCGUUGAGACUGGUUUUCUUGAGUGAGCGAGAAGUAGGCGGAAUGCGGGGUGUAGCGGUGAAAUGCAUAGAUAUCACGCAGAACUCCGAUUGCGAAGGCAGCAUACCGGCGAUCAACUGACGCUCAGGCACGAAAGUGUGGGGAGCGAACAGGAUUAGAUACCCGUGUAGUC